rnacentral:misc_RNA from 1 species
UGUCACAAACGACUCGUCUGAAAUGCCUGAGUGUACCCUGCCUUGCGGCGUAUUCGGUGUGAUACAUCUUUCACCGGAGUCUCGACUUUUGGGUCGGCGCUUGUAUGGUUUGGCUCUAUGCUUUCGAACCGUCCGUGACAAGGACAAAAUAACUCUGACAAUUUGACCUCAAAUCGGGUGGGACUACCCGCUGAACUUAA